CCGCGGUAAUACGGAGGGUGCGAGCGUUAAUCGGAAUUACUGGGCGUAAAGCGCGCGUAGGCGGUUUGUUAAGUCGGAUGUGAAAUCCCCGGGCUCAACCUGGGAAUGGCAUUCGAUACUGGCCGACUAGAGUACGAGAGAGGGAGGUAGAAUUCCACGUGUAGCGGUGAAAUGCGUAGAUAUGUGGAGGAAUACCGGUGGCGAAGGCGGCCUCCUGGCUCGAUACUGACGCUGAGGUGCGAAAGCGUGG
rnacentral:rRNA from 1 species